rnacentral:rRNA from 1 species
UACGUAGGCAGCAAGCGUUGUUCGGAGUUACUGGGCGUAAAGGGUGUGUAGGCGGUUGUUUAAGUUUGGUGUGAAAGCUCCCGGCUCAACUGGGAGAGGUCAAGGGAAACUACCGGGCUAGAGUGUGGCAGAGGAAGCUGGAAUUCCCGGUGUAGCGGUGAAAUGCGUAGAGAUCGGGAGGAAUACCUAUGGCGAAAGCAGGCUUCUGGGCCGUCACUGACGCUGAGCUGCGAAAGCUAGGGGAGCAAACAGG